rnacentral:lncRNA from 1 species
GCUCCUGGCCGGGUUGAUGCCGGUGCCAGUGACGGGGAUGGUGGCCAGGUGGACCAUGAACACAGCGAAGCCGAUUGGGAGGGGAGCCAGCACCUGAAAUUUUUCACAAUUCACAGAGGGUCAGCAAAACAUAGCUGAAAAUAAAAACAAGCAAAGGCAAUCAGAUUAGAAUUACAGGCAAUCAGAUUAGAAUUACUCGUGCAUGCGUCCAAAUUCUCGUCACAUCAUCAUGGCCUAACAUUUUCCAAACUAAAACAAGAUGACAGGCUACUUCUAAAGCAAGUGGCCAAGCAUUUCUCCAAGCAAGUCUGUCAGCGUCAGGAACGAUUAGUGGCUAAGAAAAGGAGACCCUCUCGUCAUGCAUGCCCCUUUCUCUAGGGAAGGAACUGGAACACCAAACUUCGUUAGUGGCCUCUGGCUUUUAGCGCGCGACUUCACCUCGGCCGAUGAACCACCACCAGGGUCCUCACCACGGCAUAUUUUGACGGGAUGGGUCGCGCGAAGGCAGGCCAUGGACAGACAUCACGUUCCGUCACCUCGCCGCCUCACGCGAAAGGGAUGCCCACUACCACUAGGCUACCCCGAUUUCACCUAGCCACACGCUACACGUUUGCGCCUAGCGUUGCUUUGGACCAGCGGUGAAUACGAAUUCUUCAAAUUCACUCCGUGUGUGGUUACGUUUCAGUACGUACCAUACGGUGGUCCGUGGAACCGUAGUACACGUUGGAGGAUUUCAAGAACCAACGGUACGGUGCUAAUAAUUCAUCAUGGAGGGGUGAGACGCUAGAGUCUAGAGAGGAGGCUCACAUGGCAUGGGACACAAUCACACAAGGGAGGGAGGGGAGGGGGAGGACGUGGCCGAGCGUGCGUGCCCUCAUCACACGACAAGGACGACUGGACCCGACGGACCAUGUGCUACAGUGGAGCCGCGGGCCGGACCAGGCCCAGCUCAGCUUUUUACGCGCGCCGGUGGGCCCGCGUGUGUACCACCACCACCGGAUGUUACUGUGCCGUCAUGCACGGUGGGAGAGCCAGCCAGGUUGACGGGAGCAGUAAAAAUCUGGAGGACGUAAAAUUGCAGAGAUUUCUACAGUAGUACUCCGUAGUAAAAUUUCAAGUCUAGAGAUAAGGUUGGAGCUGAUUAGCCCCGGGUCUCUCUAUCUGUAUUUAUUUACUUUACUGUUAGGUCCGGGGAGUCAUGGCUAGCUGGGCUAUUGAGGCCUGUGAGGGUGACCCGGUUGCGCUCUGCCGCAUGCUCCUGUGGAUGUUCUUGAAUGUUCCAGCAAGUGUGUGUUAAUAACGGUCAUUAUCAAGACUACGGAAGGCUUAAUGACAGUUCUCCGUGUGUAGUGUACUAACCCCUUGAAAAUUAAGUUGUGAUAUUUAGAAUAUUUGGAGCUUAGGCAUCCACACAUCUCUUUCAACGGUCAAUUAUUUCUUUCUUUUGGACAAUGGUUUAGCUGAAUUUCAAGCUUUUGUUCCUCUAUCUAACAAUAAGCAGCCUCGAUGAAUAACUUGUGUAACUAGGUACAGACUACUCUAAAAAAGACUAGGUGCAGACAAAAUGAAUCGUAAGUGAACCUUUACCUUUCUAUCCCCAGCAAAAAAACGUUCUAUGGGCCGGGAAAGAAAUCCCUUCUGCCUGGACGCCUUUGAAAGAGCCAAACUGGAUAUUCUCUUGCUUUUAUAUUGUUAUUAUUUUCCUUCUUCACCGGAACAAAGGAAUUUCUUUUUGUUCGCAUGUGCCCAAACAGUAUAGAUGGGCAAGAUUAGAGCAUGCUAGCAUCGCUUGAGCUCUAAUUAAGCUAAGUUCGCACAGACAUGAAGUAAAAGAAGCUAAUAAGCGAGCAAGCUAGCAGAUCGAGAGAGAGAAAUAAAUAAAAGAAGAAAAAAGCAGGAGGCCGUGGCGUUGGUCGGGUGCUCACCGGAACGUGGGAGUCGCGGGCGUUGCGCUUGGGGUCGGUGGCGGAGAAGACGGUGUAGACGAGGACGAAGGUGCCGAUGAUCUCGGCGCCGAGGCCGGUGCCGCGGGAGUAUCCGGAGGCGAGGGAGUUGGCGCCGCCGCCGUACCUGUCGAAGUAGGCGCUCUGGAACGCCUUGACGAGGCCGACGCCGCAGAUGGCACCCAGGCACUGCGCCACGAUGUAGAGCAGCGCGCGCACCAGGGACACCUUGCGCGCCAGGAAGAGGCCGAAGGUGACGGCUGGGUUGAUGUGCCCCCCCGAGAUGCCGGCGGUGCAGUAGACGAGGACGAAGAUCAUGCCGCCGAAGGCCCACGCGAUGCCGAGGAUGCCCACGCCGCCGCACGCGUCGGUGCCGGCCACGUUCGGGUCCGUCUGGUGCUUGUAACCGAUGACGGUGAGCACGGUGAUGUAGAGGAAGAGCAGCGUGGCGAUGAACUCGGCGAUGACGGCGCGGUACAGCGACCAGGAACCCAGCUCUGCCGCGUCGAUCAGCGGCGCCGGGGGAGGGUCCGUGUAGUCCUUGGCGGCGAACUCGCCGCCGCCGGCGCCGCUCUCGAUCA